CUGGGGGUACUAUGUGCUGACCUGAGCCCGCAUGGCAGUGACAAAAGGGUAGGGCGGGGGUGAGUGAGAAAGGUUUUUCAGGGGGAUUUGGAUAAGUAUAGGAUUUCUGGUUUUUAGAAAUAGAUUUAAAUGCCCGUUUCACCAUUUAAUUCACUAGAAAUUGUAGAACUGUAAAAAAUUUGUGAAACCAAUUUGUUAGGUUUGUUUUAUUUUCCUUUAUGGAUUAAAAUUCUUAAACCCUAGGAAAAGAUAAGAAAAAUAAGGUAUUUAUUUAGUACCUUUAUUUAAGGUAUUUAAGUAAAUACU
rnacentral:lncRNA from 1 species